GACGAACGCUGGCGGCGUGCCUAAUACAUGCAAGUCGAACGCAGUGGGGACGGGUGCGUGACACGUGGGUAACCUCCCGUCAGAGGGGAGAACACGUGGAAACAGGUGCUAAACCGAUACUGAUGGAUGGACCCGGGGUGCAUUAGCUCGUGGGUGGGGUAACGGCUCACCAAGGCCACGAUGCAUAGCUGACCUGAGAGGGUGAUCGGCCACACUGGGACUGAGACACGGCCCAGACUCCUACGGGAGGCAGCAGUAGGGAAUCUUGGGCAAUGGACGAAAGUCUGACCGAGCCAUGCCGCGUGAGUGAAGAAGGUUUUCGGAUCGUAAAGUACUGUUGGCAGAGAAGCGGUAUCUAAACAGAAAGCAACGGCUAACUACGUGCCAGCAGCCGCGGUAAUUC
rnacentral:rRNA from 1 species